rnacentral:lncRNA from 1 species
UGAACCAAAUCACAUGCGUAUGAAGAAUACUCUCUAGAUGGUCGCAAACAGGCAAAACAGGCCCUAUCAAAAAGUCAUGUUAUGCAUACUCUGACAUUUUCAUUCUGUCAAAUUGUACAUAUACCUGCUAUUUCAUAUCUUCUCUAUUAAAUCAUGCCAUUUAUUGCAGGUCUUUCACUCAAAAAUUCACCAAUAUUCACCAUCAAACAGAGGAACUAUUUUCCGCGUAACCACUUCCGUAUUGGUCAACCAAGGGCAAAUAACUGUGGUCUUGUGCCAACUGCAGUCAUUGUCUUCAGUGUAUGUUAGAAGUUAUCGGAUGUACUUUAUGGUAAUUAUUUCUGUCUGGAUGAUAUCAUGGUGCAUAUGGGUGUAUAAUCAUAUUCUAUUGAUAAUGGUCCAGCAUGGUGUAAAUUUGAAGAAAAAAAUGAUUUGCAGAGUGACUGGAUGCAAUAUCAGGCGUGAUAAAAAGCUAACUUCAUAAUAAUAACAGUAUGGGAACUUAAUGGGAAAGGUUACCAGAACAUGACUACUUUCUUCUUGGAAGCGACUAGUAUGAAGCUUGCCGAUAUAUAUUUUGCUUAUAUUUCAUAAUGGGAGUUUUCUGUGUAAAUUAUAAUCACAGACUGGAUAAAGUUUUUGUCAUAAUUUCAGUUAAUAUUGAUAUUUUACAAGAACUGGUCACGCGACGAAACAUUAACAUUUCGCUAACAUGAAAUGUAAUUAAAAUUUAGAAUGAUCAUUCCCUGCCAAUGGUCGUAAUUAUCUUAAAUAGUGUGCAGGUACAUAAUUGUUAUCAGGUUUACAGAGGAUAUUCGACCUAGAAAAUUGUGUGCAAGUAAUCAGAUUAGCUUCCUAGAAAUGAAACAGGAUGGUAACUACUAAUCUAUUAAUUCAAAUAUCGAUAAUUCCGUGUAAACAACCAUCCCUUCCUACAUAAAGACCUCAACCAUAUGGCUGUUUGGAAAGUUAUCACUGGAGCAAUUGUUAAAAAGACGCAACACCAGAAGUCAUAUAAGACUUUCAAGCUAUAAGUUUACAUUAUUGCUUUACUUAAUAUCUAAGUGAUAGGCUCUCUUACCUGUAUGCAGCUGCCAUUGUCUGCUGUGGAUGACAGAUUUUAAUGCGGUAGAGUCAGCAGAGUGGCCUAAUAGGGACUGUCGGCAAAAUGGUUUGUUUCUUAAGAGUUUGCAUAUUUUAAGGUAAGGAGAAACCGAGAUUAUUUGGCAGCACGUGCUCUGAUUUGAUGAAAUAUUGGCACAAAUUUCUGAAUUUAUGGCUCACACAAGUAGCAUGUGUAUUCCUUCAGAAAUAUUUAUGAUUACUGUUAUCAUAGUCUGUGAGAUGCAAAAAAAAAAAAAACAACUCAGUUUUAGAUGCAGCAGCUUUACAUGCCACAGAUAAGUAAAAGAAAAAUAAUCGUAAACAUUGUGGGAGAGGAAAUGUGUUUAAUAAUGUAUUUGAACUUUAUGUAAUAGGUUUGUUAGAAUAAUUUUACCUGAUUAUAGAUUUUACACGACACACUUCAUACAUGCUUGUUAGAUAUUUACUAGAAGUAAUUUUAAAUCGAUUAUUUUCUACCAUGAUAAAAGCAAUUAGCCUAUGAAUAGAUAUAAUAAACCUACUUUGCCGAAGACAUGAAAGGAAUAGAAAAAUUGAUUUAUUACAUUUGUCGAAAGGUUGCUUUAAAAGUGGUCAAUCGCAUUUAAGCAACAUUAUAUAACAUUUUCACUUCUACAGAUUUAUUUUAGGAACAACGAAAUACAUUACAUAGAGUUAGAUUCCAGUUUGAAAUGUAUAUUUUGUUAUUUUAAACAUUUUGUAAUUGCCUCAAAUUUAAUAUGAAAACGUUUUAAAAGCGGAGUAAUUCUUUUGAUUUCAAUAUUUUUUUCUACUUUUGCAUUCCUGUUUGAUUAAUAAUGUGAUAUUGAAACAAUCUGCACUAAAAAGCCAGUUUUAAAACUGCAUGUAGCUGCGAUGUUCAUCUGUUUCCAACCUGUCUUGGUUGUGUAAUAAAGAUAGGAAAUAAUAAUUUCACAAACUAUGGUUUCUAAUUGAUAUAUAGCAGCAAUUCAGGACAAAUAGUUUCUUAAGUCAUGGAGUCCUGGAGUCAUUAUUAUCCCCCUUUAGUAUGUCUUUCUGUGGAAACCAAGAUAGGAAAUAGACUAUAUAGUAAACUAAUGACAGACAUUUGAAAAUAAUUACAUUUUCAUCGUAAAGGGAGAUAACUAAAACUUUUAUAAAUGAUAUUUGAUAUGAAUUGGACAUACUUGCAUUAAAUAUAUCUCUAACAGAGCAUAAUGUUAUUUUAAUGAAUUUAACCAUAUUGCAACACUGUACCAAAUAUGCACAUUGGCAAUCAGAAAAUGACAUCA